GGGUGUGGGACAGUCAGCGG
rnacentral:misc_RNA from 1 species